rnacentral:ncRNA from 1 species
ACCCUUGAAAAUUUGGAGGACCGAGUACCAUCCAUGCCCGAUCGUACUCAUAACCGCAUCAGGUCUCCAAGGUGAACAACCUCUGGUCAAUAGAACAAUGUAAGUAAGGGAAGUCAAAAAAAUGGAUCCGUAACUUUGGGAAAAGGAUUGGCUAUGAGGGUUGGGCCUAGGGGUCUGCAUCCUCAACCCAUGGCCUGUCGGCAGUCUGCUUGAGCUGCUAUCACAGCGAGGGCGGGUAGUCGUGUGCCGAUUGGGCUAUGGAUGUAGAAUGUCCUCUCGCGGGGGAUUUUUCCUAGGCAAUGAACAAUCGAAUUAGAACUGGUACGGACAAGGGGAAUCUAACUGUUUAAUUAAAAAAAAGAAUUGUGAUGGUCUCUGCGGAUGUUGAUGUAAUGUGAUUUAUGCCCAGUGCUCUAAAUGUCAAAGUGAAGAAAUUCAACAAAGCACGGGUAAACGGCGGGAGUAACUAUGACUCUCUUAAGGUAGCCAAAUGCCUCGUCAUCUAAUUAGUGACG